rnacentral:rRNA from 1 species
CCUGACGCAGCGACGCCGCGUGGGUGAUGAAGGCCUUCGGGUUGUAAAACCCUGUUACCUACUAUGAACAAUAGGUGGUGAAUAACCAGCCAAGCUGACGUAAGUAGGAGAGGAAGCACCGGCUAAAUACGUGCCAGCAGCCGCGGUAAUACGUAUGGUGCGAACGUUAUUCGGAAUUACUGGGCAUAAAGGGCGCGUAGGCGGUUUGGUAAGUCUGUAUGUGAAAUCCCUCGGCUUAACCGAGGAACUGCAUCGGAUACUGCCAGACUAGAGUGCAGGAGGGGAGAGCGGAAUUCCUGGUGGAGCGGUGAAAUGCGUAGAUAUCAGGAGGAACGCCAGUGGCGAAAGCGGCUCUCUGGCCUGCAACUGACGCUGAGGCGCGAAAGCUAGGGGAGCGAACGGGAUUAGAUACCCCGGUAGUCCUAGCCCUAAACGAUGGGCACUAGGUAGAGGAGGUUUUAGAGCUUUCUCUGCUGUAGCUAAUGUAUUAAGUGCCCCGCCUGGGGAGUAUGGUCGCAAGGCUAAAACUCAAAUGAAUUGACGG